rnacentral:rRNA from 1 species
UUGACAUCCAGAGAACUUGGCAGAGAUGCCUUGGUGCCUUCGGGAACUCUGAGACAGGUGCUGCAUGGCUGUCGUCAGCUCGUGUUGUGAAAUGUUGGGUUAAGUCCGCAACGAGCGCAACCCCUAUCCUUUGUUGCCAGCGAUUCGGUCGGGAACUCAAAGGAGACUGCCGGUGAUAAACCGGAGGAAGGUGGGGAUGACGUCAAGUCAUCAUGGCCCUUACGAGUAGGGCUACACACGUGCUACAAUGGCGUAUACAAAGAGAAGCGACCUCGCGAGAGCAAGCGGACCUCAUAAAGUACGUCGUAGUCCGGAUUGGAGUCUGCAACUCGACUCCAUGAAGUCGGAAUCGCUAGUAAUCGUAGAUCAGAAUGCUACGGUGAAUACGUUCCCGGGCCUUGUACACACCGCCCGUCACACCAUGGGAGUGGGUUGCAAAAGAAGUAGAUAGCUUAACCUUCGGGAGGGCGUUUACCACUUUGUGAUUCAUGACUGGGGUGAAGUCGUAACAAGGUAAGCGUAGCGAG